rnacentral:misc_RNA from 1 species
UUUUUUGCCACACAUGAACAUUUCCCAGUUUCAGAGCAGCCAUUAGGACAAUCACAGCCCCUUGGAGGAAUAGGGCAGCACCAAUUAGGAUAUAUAACAUGAGUGAUGUAUUCAAACAGUGGAGGCUUUUCAUCGUCUAUGGUGUUCACAGCACAAAUGGGAAUCAACUCUUUACCUUUAGAGAUAUCAUCUACACAGAGACCCUCUCGUACUUUAAAUUUUUUGGACUUCUUCACCACUUUCCAAGCAAGCUCUGGUUGACCUGGAAUUCGAUCCAACCUAAACUUGAAGACAAGUUUUCCGUGUUGCCCCAUUUCCUGCCAACACUUCGUCACCAAAUAUAGUCCAUCAUAGACAUAUGUCCUAGUUUUUGCUUUGGAUGAUUCAGACACUCCACGAAUGACCCUCACAGGAUUCUUUGCAUCCACACUAUUCUUCAAAGCAAGAUUACCUCGUUCAAGCUUCUGAUCUUCGGGUUCCUUAUCUCCAACCUUCACAUUCCCUCCUGAACCCGUAUAUAUCAAAACAUCUGAGUCAUCCAUAUCAUCAUCAUAGCCCCCAGAUGCUACAAUACUUGUUGCAAGGACACUAUUACCUUCCUUCACAAAAUCUAUACCUCCUUGAAUUUGGCGAUGAAGACCAAUAAUAUUAAGCUCCACCCUGUACUGAAACUCAUCCCCAACUUCAACACCUGGAACAGAGCCAAUGAUGUUCUUGUUUGUGUUUACAUAUUUUCCUUUUUUUCUAAGAACAUUUGCUGCAGCUAAAUCAGGCCUCUUAAUAUUUUUCGACUUAGACUCUUCUUCCUUAACAAGUUUCCUAUAGACAACUUGGAAUAGACGCAAUGUUUCCCUAACUUUGUUUCUGGUGACAAACACAUCAUUACCAUCGGCUUUAUCACUCAAACUGCUAGGACAGGAAGGAGGAAGUGUCACACCAAAAUUACAAGAACUCCUAAUCAAUUGAAAAUCAUC